CCUACGGGUGACAGCAGUGAGGAAUAUAGGUCAAUGGACGAGAGUCUGAACCAGCCAAGUAGCGUGAAGGAUGACUGCCCUAUGGGUUGUAAACUUCUUUUAUAAAGGAAUAAAACGAGGCACGUGUGCCUUUUUGCAUGUACUUUAUGAAUAAGGAUCGGCUAACCCCGUUCCAGCAGCCGCGGUAAUACUGAGGAUCCGAGCGUUAUACGGAUUUAUUGGGUUUAAGGGGAGCGUAGAUGGGUUGUUAAGUCAGUUGUGAAAGUUUGCGGCUCAACCGUAAAAUUGCAAUUGAUACGGGCAGUGUUGAGUACAGUUGAGGUAGGCGAAAUUCGUGGUGGAGCGGUGAAAUGCUUAGAUAUCACGAAGAACCCCGAUUGAGAAGGCAGUUUACUAAACUGUGACUGACAUUGAUGCUCGAAAGUGUGGGUAUCAAACAGGAUUAGAUACCCUUGUAGUC
rnacentral:rRNA from 1 species